rnacentral:rRNA from 1 species
UACGUAGGGACCGAGCGUUGUCCGGAAUCAUUGGGCGUAAAGCGCACGUAGGCGGGUCCUUAAGUCGGGGGUGAAAUCCCGGAGCUCAACUCCGGAACUGCCUUCGAUACUGGGGACCUCGAGUCCGGGAGAGGUGAGUGGAACUGCGAGUGUAGAGGUGAAAUUCGUAGAUAUUCGCAAGAACACCAGUGGCGAAGGCGGCUCACUGGCCCGGUACUGACGCUGAGGUGCGAAAGCGUGGGGAGCAAACAGG